rnacentral:lncRNA from 12 species
UGUCCCCCCCAGGCGCGGGCCCGGGCGAGGUGGGGGUCUGUGUUACAUUAAUUUGGGUGGGGGUCUCUCUAUAUUAAUUUGGGGAGGGGUCUCUCUGUCCCCCCCAGGCGCGGGCCCGGGCGAGGUGGGGGUCUGUGUUACAUUAAUUUGGGUGGGGGUCUCUCUAUAUUAAUUUGGGGAGGGGUCUCUCUGUCCCCCCCAGGCGCGGGCCCGGGCGAGGUGGGGGUCUGUGUUACAUUAAUUUGGGUGGGGGUCUCUCUAUAUUAAUUUGGGGAGGGGUCUCUCUGUCCCCCCCAGGCGCGGGCCCGGGCGAGGUGGGGGUCUGUGUUACAUUAAUUUGGGUGGGGGUCUCUCUAUAUUAAUUUGGGGAGGGGUCUCUCUGUCCCCCCCAGGCGCGGGCCCGGGCGAGGUGGGGGUCUGUGUUACAUUAAUUUGGGUGGGGGUCUCUCUAUAUUAAUUUGGGGAGGGGUCUCUCUGUCCCCCCCAGGCGCGGGCCCGGGCGAGGUGGGGGUCUGUGUUACAUUAAUUUGGGUGGGGGUCUCUCUAUAUUAAUUUGGGGAGGGGUCUCUCUGUCCCCCCCAGGCGCGGGCCCGGGCGAGGUGGGGGUCUGUGUUACAUUAAUUUGGGUGGGGGUCUCUCUAUAUUAAUUUGGGGAGGGGUCUCUCUGUCCCCCCCAGGCGCGGGCCCGGGCGAGGUGGGGGUCUGUGUUACAUUAAUUUGGGUGGGGGUCUCUCUAUAUUAAUUUGGGGAGGGGUCUCUCUGUCCCCCCCAGGCGCGGGCCCGGGCGAGGUGGGGGUCUGUGUUACAUUAAUUUGGGUGGGGGUCUCUCUAUAUUAAUUUGGGGAGGGGUCUCUCUGUCCCCCCCAGGCGCGGGCCCGGGCGAGGUGGGGGUCUGUGUUACAUUAAUUUGGGUGGGGGUCUCUCUAUAUUAAUUUGGGGAGGGGUCUCUCUGUCCCCCCCAGGCGCGGGCCCGGGCGACCAUUUUCGGGGUCUCUCUUCCCUCCCGGGGGGUUCGGGGCUCUCGCUGCUUUUGCUGACUUUGCUUUUUCUCCCUGUCCCUCUGUCCCCUCCCUGUCCCUCUGUCCUUCUGUCCUUCUGUCCCCUCCCUGUCCCUCUGUCCUUCUGUCCUCCUCUGUCCAUCUGUCCUUGUGUCCGUCUGUCCUUUCCCUGUCACCUUUGUCCCCUCCCUGUCCCUC